rnacentral:rRNA from 1 species
GACGAACGCUGGCGGCGUGCUUAACACAUGCAAGUCGAACGGAAAGGCCCUGCUUUUGUGGGGUGCUCGAGUGGCGAACGGGUGAGUAACACGUGAGUAACCUGCCCUUGACUUUGGGAUAACUUCAGGAAACUGGGGCUCAUACCGGAUAGGAGCUCCUGCUGCAUGGUGGGGGUUGGAAAGUUUCGGCGGUUGGGGAUGGACUCGCGGCUUAUCAGCUUGUUGGUGGGGUAGUGGCUUACCAAGGCUUUGACGGGUAGCCGGCCUGAGAGGGUGACCGGCCACAUUGGGACUGAGAUACGGCCCAGACUCCUACGGGAGGCAGCAGUGGGGAAUAUUGCACAAUGGGCGGAAGCCUGAUGCAGCAACGCCGCGUGCGUGAUGACGGCCUUCGAGUUGUAAACCGCUUUCGCCUGUGACGAAGCGUGAGUGACGGUAAUGGGUAAAGAAGCACCGGCUAACUACGUG